rnacentral:rRNA from 1 species
GACAGAGGGUGCAAACGUUGUUCGGAAUUACUGGGCGUAAAGCGCGUGUAGGCUGCUUCGCAAGUCGGAUGUGAAAGCCCUGGGCUCAACCCAGGAAGUGCAUUCGAAACUGCAGAGCUGGAGUCCUGGAGAGGAAGGCGGAAUUCCUGGUGUAGCGGUGAAAUGCGUAGAUAUCAGGAGGAACACCGGUGGCGAAGGCGCACAUCUGGCCCGAUACUGACGCUGAGGCGCGAAAGCUAGGGGAGCAAACGGG